rnacentral:rRNA from 1 species
UACUCCUACGGGAGGCAGCAGUGGGGAAUAUUGGACAAUGGGGGCAACCCUGAUCCAGCAAUUCUGUGUGCACGAAGAAGGUUUUCGGAUUGUAAAGUGCUUUCAGCAGGGAAGAAGAAAGUGACGGUACCUGCAGAAGAAGCGACGGCUAAAUACGUGCCAGCAGCCGCGGUAAUACGUAUGUCGCAAGCGUUAUCCGGAAUUAUUGGGCAUAAAGGGCAUCUAGGCGGCCCUGUAAGUCUAGGGUGAAAACCUGCGGCUCAACCGCAGGCCUGCCCCGGAAACUACAGGGCUAGAGUAUCGGAGAGGUGGACGGAACUGCACGAGUAGAGGUGAAAUUCGUAGAUAUGUGCAGGAAUGCCGAUGAUGAAGAUAGUUCACUGGACGGUAACUGACGCUGAAGUGCGAAAGCUAGGGGAGCAAACAGGAUUAGAUACCCUGGUAGUCCUAGCUGUAAACGAUGAUUACUGGGUGUGGGCAUGAAGAGUGUCCGUGCCGAAGCAAAUGCGAUAAGUAAUCCGCCUGGGGAGUACGGCCGCAAGGCUGAAACUCAAAGGAAUUGACGGA